rnacentral:rRNA from 1 species
UACGUAGGGGGCAAGCGUUGUCCGGAUUCAUUGGGCGUAAAGAGCGUGUAGGCGGCCAGGUAGGUCGGUCGUGAAAACUGGAGGCUCAACCUUCAGACGUCGACCGAAACCAUCUGGCUAGAGUCCGGGAGAGGAGAGUGGAAUUCCUGGUGUAGCGGUGAAAUGCGCAGAUAUCAGGAAGAACACCCGUGGCGAAAGCGGCUCUCUGGAACGGUACUGACGCUGAGACGCGAAAGCGUGGGGAGCGAACAGG